rnacentral:rRNA from 1 species
AAUGAACGUUGGCGGCGUGGAUUAGGCAUGCAAGUCGUGCGAUAACCCCGCAGGGGGGAAAGCGGCGAAAGGGAGAGUAACGCGUGGGUACCUGCCCCUUGGUCCGGAAUAGCUGCGGGAAACUGCAGGUAAUGCCGGAUAAUAUCCUCGGAUCAAAGGUGUGAUUCCGCCGAGGGAGGGGCCCGCGUUCUAUUAGCUAGUUGGUAGGGUAAUGGCCUACCAAGGCGGCGAUGGAUACCGGGUGUGAGAGCAUGACCCGGCUCACUGGGACUGAGACACUGCCCAGACGCCUACGGGUGGCUGCAGUCGAGAAUCUUCGGCAAUGGGCGCAAGCCUGACCGAGCGACGCCGCGUGCGGGAUGAAGGCCUUCGGGUUGUAAACCGCUGUCGUAGAGGAGGAAAUGCCAUGGGGUUCUCUCCAUGGUUUGACCUAUUCUAGGAGGAAGGACGGGCUAAGUUCGUGCCAGCCGCCGCGGUAA